GCUAUUAGACAUGCAAAGGACAUAGAUCCCCUUGAUUUGAAGAACUGCUAGCAGUGGAACCGUUUCCUUGAGAUACACUAUGAAAGAGUUGGGAAGGAUGGGCGGUUCAGUCAUAAAGAAGUCACUGUUUACUUCGUUCCAGACUUGUCUAAAUGCCUCCCUUCAUUAGAAUCAUGGCGUGAGAACUGGUUUACUCAAAAAAGGCUAUAGCUGAGAGAGAAAGGGAACUUGCUCUGAGGAAAGAGAAAUCCGGAGAGAAGGAAAGAUAGAAAGAUGCUAAGCGGGGUCCCAAGUCAGAGAAGAAAUCUGCAUCAGGACAGUCUGCAGACGGAAGCAAGAAGGACAAUGAUGGCAACCUGAAAGUGAAUACACCAAAUAAAGAAGGGUCUAAGAAAAAAGGUGGAAAGAGUAAACAAGCUCUUGAAACUUGUAAGGUGGGGAAUGAUAAUGCUGAACUGAAUCCAGGAGAAAGUGCUGCUAUUGAAACUGAUAGUAGUGCAAAGUCAGUUAAGA